rnacentral:rRNA from 1 species
GACGAACGCUGGCGGCAUGCUUAACACAUGCAAGUCGAACGGAAAGGCCCUGCUUUUGUGGGGUGCUCGAGUGGCGAACGGGUGAGUAACACGUGAGUAACCUGCCCUUGACUUUGUGAUAACUUCAGGAAACUGGGGCUAAUACCGGAUAGGAGCUCCUGCUGCAUGGUGGGGUUUGGAAAGUUUCGGCGGUUGGGGAUGGACUCGCGGCUUAUGAGCUUGUUGGUGGGGUAGUGGCUUACCAAGGCUUUGACGGGUAGCCGGCCUGAGAGGGUGACCGGGCACAUUGGGACUGAGAGACGGCCCAGACUGCAACGGGAGGCAGCAGUGGGGAAUAUUGCACAAUGGGCGGAAGCGUGAUGAAGAAACGCCGCGUGCGGGAUGACGGCCUUCGGGUUGUAAACCGCUUUCGCCUGUGACGAAGCGUGAGUGACGGUAAUGGGUAAAGAAGCACCGGCUAACUACGUG